ACCCGCUCCUCUCAUCUGCCGCCUCCCCUCCCCGCCCUUCUUCCUUUCCCCUGCUGGUUCUUCUCUCCCUCUGCCUCCUUCCUCCACGCCCUCCCUUUUUCUUGCGCAGGCGACGAUGACGUGGGAGCAUCCACCGGAAGGUGGGGGCAGGCCGCCGCCGCCGCCCACCGCCGAUCCUUGGCACGGGCGCCGCUUAUGCCGAAGACCAGUAAGGGAUGGAGGCCCUGGAGAUUCCUCGUGAACUUGUGGGAGGAGCCUCUGUCAAAGGUAGACGUCGGUAGUGCGGCAGCGCUCCCUCUCCCCACCUCCCCCAACAACACCGCACCCUCUCUGAGCAGCUAGCCUCGCUGCCUCCCCUCGCCGACCUCGCCUUGGCGGCUUUCCCUUGCCUCAGCUGUCUUUCCAAUCCCCCGAUUCUAACGCCUCGCCUUGGCCAUCUUCACCUCGCUGUCAGCCUUCCUGACUUCGCGGAUGGCUGCAACCCCGUCCUGGACGGCGGGGUAUGCAUGGUCCGUAAGAUGCGCGUCCUAUCGGGCCUUCCUAUCGCCUCCAGUGGGGAGCUGCUCAAGAUCAUCGAUGGCCUCUUGUGGGCUUUGCCACCGCCAGCCUCUUUGUGCCCUAGCCUGCGCGGUAAACCUCCCGCCUCCAUGGGGUCAGCCCUGGUACAAGCGGUUCUGGAGGAGACAGUCAGCGCCGACGAUCUUCACUUGCGCUUUCGCGACUGCCUGAACACGAGUAAACACACCCAGGCAACUGCACGAGGAGGGCAGACGCGUUGAACGCUGGCACUGUGUGGGUACAUGAGGUCCAUGCCGGCGGAUAGCGCUGGCACCAGAGAUACCGACAGGAUCUGGUUUGUGAACAGGGUGUUACCUGCUGGCACUUAGGUUGUGUGCACUUGCUGAUUGACAAGCACACGGGGUACAACAGCUGAAGCCGUGAGUUGUAUGGUACAUCUUGCUCUCAUUGUCCGGUUGGUUGGUACAAUCUUCCCAUAUGUUAA